rnacentral:rRNA from 1 species
CUACGGGGGGCACCAGUGGGGAAUAUUGGACAAUGGGCGCAAGCCUGAUCCAGCAAUACCGCGUGUGUGAAGAAGGCCUGCGGGUUGUAAAGCACUUUCAAUUGUGAAGAAAAGCGAGGGCUUAAUACGCUCUUGUCUUGACGUUAGCUUUAGAAGAAGCACUGGCUAACUCUGUGCCAGCAGCCGCGGUAAUACAGAGGGUGCGAGCGUUAAUCGGAAUUACUGGGCGUAAAGCGUACGUAGGCGGUUUAGUAAGUCAGAUGUGAAAGCCCUGGGCUCAACCUGGGAACUGCAUUUGAAACUGCUAGACUAGAGUGUGGUAGAGGGAAGUGGAAUUCCGGGUGUAGCGGUGAAAUGCGUAGAUAUCCGGAGGAACACCAGUGGCGAAGGCGACUUCCUGGACCAACACUGACGCUGAGGUACGAAAGCGUGGGUAGCAAACAGGAUUAGAUACCCCGGUAGUC